GCUGGACCUGCUGCUUUAGGGACUUGAACCCAUAAUCAUUCCUUGGUCACCUUAGCUAAAAAGACUGAUCUUCAAGAAGAGAAACUAUAUUUACCGUCAACAAAGCAAUUCAAAUGACUAAUCUCACCAUCAGCUUCUAGGUCAAAGUUCCCUCACAAAGAAAGACUUGAACGAAACUAAUGUUACAGAAAGAUACGAGGAAGUUUUCAAAUCCAAGCUUGUGCACUUUAUGGCAUGGUGGCAUGCUCAUUACUUGCACAUAUACCUAAGUUGUGUUUAAUGGUUUGGUUUGGCUAAUACCACCCACCUGACUAAAGGGGGAGGAGCCAGAAGUGUCAAGUAUUAGAAGGUGAAAACAGCUCGAUUCUUUUUUUCUUUAUUUUUAUUUUUUUUUAAAUCAUCUGUUGUCAACCUCUGUCAUACGCAUCUUCGGUGGAGCUGGGAGCUGAUCCUCGAUGAGGCCUUCCUCAAACCACAGCCUCUGGCCUAACUUGUUGCUUUGUUAUUAUUGGUCAUUAGCUGUACCCCGCCUCUCGCCCUAUGACAGCUGGGAUAGGCUCCAGCGCCCCCCGCGACCCUGAAAAGGAGAAGCGGAAGCGAAUGGAUGGAUGGAUGGAUGGUCAUUAGUCAUUUACAUUUGUGUCCUUGCUAGUGAAUUUCCAACUCUCUGCAUAAAUACGGUCUCUCAUCCACAUUUGAGCUUCACAAAUGUGCAUGAAAGCAUGUAACUGCAUGGGUUAAUAUUUAGAAUUAAAAAAAAUCACCACCACAAGUUGAAUCACAAAACAAUGAAAUCCAUCACAGAAUAUUACCAAAGAUAUUAUCCAUAUAGGCCCUUUAAUUAUUAUUUAAUUAUAAUAAUUUGUACAUUUUUAAUAUAUGACCACUUUCAGCUCAAAACUAAAGCAAAAAAAAUGUUCAACUGGGCUCAUUUCUACUAACUUUUUAGUUUUUUUAUUCAACGUAGAACGAUGAUUAUUCACACUGUAUCAGAAUCAGCAGCUCUCAGUACAUUCCCUCAGAGUAUCUCCUCACCUUCACUGAAUUACAGCAGGUUAAGUUGCUGCAUUGUGUCCAUAGAAGGACAGCUUCACGAAUAUAUUGAGCUAAAGUAGAAAGUAUUUCAGUUUGGCAAGCAUUCAUCC
ensembl:lncRNA